ACUUCCGUGGGUCUGUGGUUGAGCACCUCGACGAUCUACAAGGUAGUGCACAGAUUUAUAGAGACGGCGUGGGUUCGAAUCCCACCGGAAGCA